rnacentral:rRNA from 1 species
ACAUGCCUACAACAUAGCGUUAAUUCCCCAGAUCCUAUUAGAAAUCCGCAAUUAAGUGCGCUCAGGCUAGAGUAGUACUGGGAUGGGUGAUCGCCCAAUAAGUCCUAGUGUUUUACAUGCC